rnacentral:rRNA from 1 species
GGUCAGGACGAACGCUGGCGGCGUGCUUCAUACAUGCAAGUCGAACGAGAAGUUACCUUCGGGUAAUGGAAAGUGGCGGACGGGUGAGUAAAAUGUAGAGAAUCUGCCCAGAGCGGGGGAUAGCAGUUGGAAACGACUAUUAAUACCCCAUAUGAGCGUAGUUGAAAUACUAUUCUUGAAAACUCCGGUGCUCUGGGAUGAGUCUGCAUCUGAUUAGCUAGUUGGGGGUGUAAUGGACCACCAAGGCGACGAUCAGUAGCUGGUUUGAGAGGAUGAUCAGCCACAAUGGGACUGAGACACGGCCCAUGCUCCUACGGGAGGCAGCAGUAGGGAAUUUUGCGCAAUGGGGGAAACCCUGACGCCAGCAACGCCGCGUGAAUGAAGAAGCCCUUCGGGGUGUAAAGUUCUGUCAGUGGGGACGAAACUUGACGGUACCCACAGAGGAAGCAUCGGCUAACUCCGUGCCAGCCGCAGC